rnacentral:rRNA from 1 species
AUUGAACGCUGGCGGCAGGCCUAACACAUGCAAGUCGAACGGUAACAGGAAGCAGCUUGCUGCUUUGCUGACGAGUGGCGGACGGGUGAGUAAUGUCUGGGAAACUGCCUGAUGGAGGGGGAUAACUACUGGAAACGGUAGCUAAUACCGCAUAACGUCGCAAGACCAAAGAGGGGGACCUUAGGGCCUCUUGCCAUCGGAUGUGCCCAGAUGGGAUUAGCUAGUAGGUGGGGUAACGGCUCACCUAGGCGACGAUCCCUAGCUGGUCUGAGAGGAUGACCAGCCACACUGGAACUGAGACACGGUCCAG